GGCACAGAGAUCUGAGGGCAUGGCUGUCCAAGAAAAAAAUGUAGCCAUUGUUGCCAUCUAUCGACCACAGGUUGAAGAUUGGAGAUCCGUUGGAUAUAGAUCGAGUUAUAGGCAAAAGUUGAUGCAAAAAUGAGGAAAAUUUUACAUUUUCUCAAACAGGGUAUGGAACUUGUUUCCUCGAAUAACUUCUGGCACAGAGAUCUGAGGGCAUAGCCGUCCAAGAAGAAAAUGUAGCCAUUGUUGCCAUCUAUCGACCACAGGUUGAAGAUUGGAGAUCCGUUGGAUAUAGAUCGAGUUAUAGGCAAAAGUUGAUGCAAAAAUGAGGAAAAUUUUACAUUUUCUCAAACAGGGUAUGGAACUUGUUUCCUCGAAUAACUUCUGGCACAGAGAUCUGAGGGCAUAGCCGUCCAAGAAGAAAAUGUAGCCAUUGUUGCCAUCUAUCGACCACAGGUUGAAGAUUGGAGAUCCGUUGGAUAUAGAUCGAGUUAUAGGCAAAAGUUGGUGCAAAAAUGAGGAAAAUUUUACAUUUUCUCAAACAGGGUAUGGAACUUGUUUCCUCGAAUAACUUCUGGCACAGAGAUCUGAGGGCAUAGCCGUCCAAGAAGAAAAUGUAGCCAUUGUUGCCAUCUAUCGACCACAGGUUAAAGAUUGGAGAUCCGUUGGAUACCGACCGAGUUAUACACAAAACUUGGUGCAAAAAUGAGGAAAAUUUUACAUUUUCUCAAACAGGAUGUGGAACUUGCUUCCUCGAAUAACUUCUGGCACAGAGAUCUGAGGGCAUGGCCGUCCAAGAAGAAAAUGUAGCCAUUGUUGCCAUCUAUCGACCACAGGUUAAAGAUUGGAGAUCCGUUGGAUAUAGAUCGAGUUAUAGGCAAAAGUUGAUGCAAAAAUGAGCCGUAUGAAAUUUUCAAAUUUUUUUAUUUUUUUAAUUUUUUAUUAUUUUUUACUUUUUUUUUUGUUUAAAGCAUUAUUGGAGUGAAAAGAAACUCAUUGCAACCAAUUGGCAUUAAAAUAAAUCAAUUUGAAUUUUUUUGCAAAAUUUCUCAAAAAAAUGGCAAGGGGUAAGCCUUAUGAAAUUUUCGAGUUGAAAAUUUUUGUAAAAUUUGUAAAUUUUGUAAUUUUGUAAAUUGAUUUAAAGCACUAUUUAAGUGAAAAGAAACUUAUUGCAACAAAUUCCCAUUAAAAUAUAUCACAUUUUUCAAUUUUGCUACAUUGGUGAAAAAUGAGGAAAAUUUUACAUUUUCUCAAACAGGGUAUGGAACUUGCUUCUUCGAAUAACUUCUGGCACAGAGAUCUAAGGGCAUAGCCGUCCAAGAAGAAUAUGUAGCCAUUGUUGCCAUCUAUCGACCACAGGUUAAAGAUUGGAGAUCCGUUGGAUAUAGAUCGAGUUAUAGGCAAAAGUUGGUGCAAAAAUGAGGACAAUUUUACAUUUUCUCAAACAGGGUAUGGAACUUGCUUCCUCGAAUAACUUCUGGCACAGAGAUCUGAGGGCAUGGCCGUCCAAGAAGAAAAUAUAGCCAUUGUUGCCAUCUAUCGACCACAGGUUAAAGAUUGGAGAUCCGUUGGAUACCGACCGAGUUAUACACAAAACUUGGUGCAAAAAUGAGGAAAAUUUUACAUUUUCUCAAACAGGAUGUGGAACUUGCUUCCUCGAAUAACUUCUGGCACAGAGAUCUGAGGGCAUGGCCGUCCAAGAAGAAAAUGUAGCCAUUGUUGCCAUCUAUCGACCACAGGUUAAAGAUUGGAGAUCCGUUGGAUAUAGAUCGAGUUAUAGGCAAAAGUUGAUGCAAAAAUGAGGACAAUUUUACAUUUUCUCAAACAGGGUAUGGAACUUGCUUCCUCGAAUAACUUCUGGCACAGAGAUCUGAGGGCAUGGCCGUCCAAGAAGAAAAUAUAGCCAUUGUUGCCAUCUAUCGACCACAGGUUGAAGAUUGGAGAUCCGUU